rnacentral:lncRNA from 1 species
UUAAGCCCCAGUCCCACUAGACCACGAUCGCACCACGCUCACCGCGAUCUAAAAUAAAUUUAGAUCGUGGUGAGGUCGCGGUAUGAGCGGCAUGAAAAUGUAAAUUUUCGUUGCUUUCACGAUGCUACUACGUCCUCUCUACGCUUCUACAAAGAUCCCGCUACGAUUAUACCACGUUCUCACAGCGCUUAUUCUGCGACCUCACUACGCUUAUCA